AACCAGACUCCUACGGGAGGCAGCAGUGGGGGAUAUUGCACAAUGGGGGGAACCCUGAUGCAGCGACGCCGCGUGGGUGAAGAAGUCAUUCGUGACGUAAAGCCCUAUCAGCAGGGAAGAAAAUGACGGUACCUGACUAAGAAGCCCCGGCUAACUACGUGCCAGCAGCCGCGAUAAUACGUAGGGGGCAAGCGUUAUCCGGAUUUACUGGGUGUAAAGGGAGCGUAGGCGGUUUAGCAAGUCAGAAGUGAAGGCCCGGGGCUCAACUCCGGGACUGCUUUUGAAACUGUUGAACUAGAUUGCAGGAGAGGUAAGUGGAAUUCCUAGUGUAGCGGUGAAAUGCGUAGAGAUCGGGAGGAACACCAGUGGCGAAGGCGGCCUACUGGGCUUUAACUGACGCUGAGGCACGAAAGCGUGGGUAGCAAACAGGAUUAGAUACCCGUGUA
rnacentral:rRNA from 1 species